rnacentral:rRNA from 1 species
CCCGCACAAGCAGUGGAGUAUGUGGUUUAAUUCGAAGCAACGCGAAGAACCUUUACCAGGGCUUGACAUCCCUUGAAGCAGCUAGAGAUAGCUGUGUCCUUCGGGACAAGGAGACAGGUGGUGCAUGGUUGUCGUCAGCUCGUGUCGUGAGAUGUUGGGUUAAGUCCCGCAACGAGCGCAACCCCUGUGGUUAGUUGCCAGCAAGUAGCGUUGGGCACUCUAGCCAGACUGCCGGUGAUAAAUCGGAGGAAGGUGGGGACGACGUCAAAUCAUCAUGCCCUUUAUGUCCUGGGCUACACACGUACUACAAUAGCCGUUACAACGGGAAGCGAAGGAGCAAUCCGGAGCAAAUCCCUUAAAGGCGGUCCCAGUUCAGAUUGUGGGCUGAAACUCGCCCACAUGAAGGCGGAAUUGCUAGUAAUUGCAGAUCAGCAUGCUGCCAGUCCGAAUACGUUCCGGGCCUU